rnacentral:rRNA from 1 species
UACGGAGGGUGCAAGCGUUAUCCGGAUUCACUGGGUUUAAAGGGUGCGUAGGCUGGCAGGUAAGUCAGUGGUGAAAUCUCCGAGCUUAACUCGGAAACUGCCGUUGAUACUAUUUGUCUUGAAUAUUGUGGAGGUAAGCGGAAUAUGUCAUGUAGCGGUGAAAUGCUUAGAUAUGACAUAGAACACCAAUUGCGAAGGCAGCUUACUACACAACGAUUGACGCUGAGGCACGAAAGCGUGGGGAUCAAACAGG